UCGCAACCGCAAAGGUCCAGUCCACGAACCGCCACGUUCAACAAUACCUUUACCACUAAGCCCAGAAGAGAAACUACCGCCAAGAAAAGCUCCAAACUCAACAAAAAGACCAUUACUAUUAAGCCCUGAAGAUCAUCAUCAUCACCAUCAUCAACAACAACAACAACAAAGACCUCCACCAUCACAACCACCACGCGGUGGCGGCAGAUAUCCAACAACACUACCUCCAAUAGCCAAACCAAUUCCAUGGAGAACCGCUCCAACACCAUCACCGCAUCACCGUGGUGGACCACCUUUAUCACCACCUUCAAGAGAUCAGACAAACGCAAUGACACGGUCAACUGCGUUUUGCUGCGCAAUUUUAUAAAUAAUGAUGCAAUGUUGAAUAAGAAAAGUUAUUCAUUAUGCAUAUGUUAAAUAAUAAAAUAAUAAAAUAAUUAUGCAUGAGGAGAUAUCCACAUGCUAAAUAGCUCUAAGUUAGGUAUCUACGUGUGUAAUAGCUUUAAAUUAGGUAUCCAUUGUAUCACUAUAAAUAAGAGGUUUAGGUGUUUGCAUAAGGCAAGUUAAGUCCUCUAAUCGAGUUUGAGAGAAAAUUUGAGUGUUCUUGUAAUUUGGGAAGUGUUCUAUAUAUAUAAAAUAUUCUCUUUUGUAUAAUCAUCUCUUUAAUCUUUUAAUAAUCUUUUAAAUACUUGUGAUCCUAAUAAACUUUUUUUGUAAUUGUACUCACUAUGUGUUUGUAAAUUUGGUAUUAGAGCCAUGGCAGUCUAAACUUUAUAUCUUAUCUCGCCGAAGAGUAAUAAGCCUACGAGUUGUUUCUUCUACAAGCUAAUAUAGAAAGUAUGCUCUGUAGUUGCCACAUAGUGGAUUCUCCACAUCAGAAAUCUGACAUAACUAGAAAAAAGAAUUUUGAGGAAGAACUUAUAAAAUCAUAAUACUCAAAAUACCUUGAGGCUCAAAGCUAUGAAGUAUUGCCUCGGUUAUCGAGCUAAAAUAUCUUACGAGAGAUUUCUCAAAUAUUCUUAGUGCAUCAUAAAAACCAACUCUUGGCUUAGUAUUACUCUAAAGGAUAGAUAAGAAAAAAAAAGCAUUCUAUUUAGGUCUUUAGUCGCAUCAUAUAUCAUGGAAAGUUCCCUAAACAAAACUCCUUUUAAAAAAUCAACCUCUAGUAAGAUAGAUUACCUAUAUGAAAUAGAAUAUGUGAGUGAAGAUAGUAAAGUACCCAUCACCCAAUUACCCUUACUUAACCCAUAUAAAGCCUUUACAAAACCAAACUUUACUUUCCCAAAGGUGAUAAACAAGUCUUUGGUCCCAGCAAACAUGCCGUAAGAGAGCUAAUCCUAGCCUCGCAAAUGGAGCAACACCUUGUUUCAGCGACAGAAACUGAACAGAUGAUUCCCCUCCGCUUCAACGAAGGGAUGGUUCACCAAUGGAAGACUCAUGGCUACACCCACCUACAUUACGGAGCAAUUAGGUUGGCGUUAACUCUACAUGGAAGAAAAUGCCUACCCGUUGUGGCAAGAGUUGCCCUACUCAACACUAAAUAAAGAGAAUAACAGCAUGCUUGCAUAGCAACAAUUCAGACGACCCUGAAUGCAGGCACGGUAUUUGUCACUCUCUACCCAAACUUCAACAUAGCACUUGAAGACCCUCAAAUCUUCCAGAACAUGCAAAUUCAGCUACAAAUCACAGGCGCUCCCCAAGUUGGCAACACAUAUGUAGCAACACUCCACCAUCAUAUGGCGUAUAGGGUCCAAAACAAUGCUAUGGACCUCAGUCUCCCACGAGACACAGAAGAUGCACUACUCAUACAGCUAGAAUCUCAACACAGUCCAUCAUGCAUCCAUAUCCCCAGACAAAUUCUUAGAGAAGAAUUAGUAAAAUUGCUUCCAGAGUCAUGGGUGACAAAUUACGAAAAGCUUCAUGAAAGCAGUGUACCGAUACAGUUCGUGGACUCCUCCAUCUACAGACGAAAAGACAGAGCAAUCGAGAUAUCUUUUAAACAACAAAAUGGUGAAAAAUCACGUCAUCCAGCCUUUUGUACUGAGAUAAAUGCAAUCUCUCCAGCCGAAGAAGUACAACCCCUGAGGCAAUAUCUGCCUGGUGUUCCAAUCAAUUUUUUUUAACGCAGCCGGAGACCCGAUCUAUGUAUUCUCAGACGAAACAGAUCACAAAUUCUUUGACGUCUGUGACUGAGACUAUUGCCUAAUGGAUAGCUCAGACGAAGAAGAAAAACCAAGGCGAAGAAAAAAAAAGUCAUCCCAGCAAAUUCUCAAAAAACGAUACGAAUCUGGAGAUUCAGAAGUUGGUCUUCUUGGAGAACCUACAGGGAAGGAAUUUGAAUACUAUGUAUUGUAUUCAAACAGAUCAACUCCACCAACCCCUGACAAUGAGAAUGUUCGCACGUGUUAUAUGUGAUUCUUCGUCCUCUCCAGAGCCAACAUUUCCAACACGAGAAUUAGAAAAAGGCAACAUUAGGUAUUCAUGAAAAAUCAGAAAUCUGAACGUCACCGAGGAAAGGAAACAAAGAGUGAAACCCAGGGAGUGACCAGAUCGGACUGUCUUGAUCUCUCGAGGGAUGACAUGGGCGUCCAUCUUUGUCGUCUCCGUCGUUGGGAGAGUGAUCGUGUACUACGCCGCCACGUAGCGGAGAGGCAAAAGAUCGGCCCCGAGAGAACUUGAGUGCUGCAACUCCGCCAUUGCUCGCCUCGGGCUAAAAAUCGCCAGCUUAUCUAUCGAUUAUUUCUCUAUUUCUUCUUCUUCUUCUCUUUAUAAUCUCUGUGGAUAGCAGCAGUUCUUCAGCUUACUAUGUGCAACGCUGCCAUGUGAGGAAAGAGCUUGGAGAGAGAGACUAAAACACUCAAUAGACGGAUUAAAGAAAGCUUUUUGGAAUGGCCUCAUUGUUCAUAUUCUAAGUAACACCCUCUUAAUCAAACAGAGGAUUAGUUUAUUUUAUAUUUACAAUUACAUCCUAUAGUUUAUUAUAGCUACAUAAUCACCCCUAAAUUGUCUCUUUUCUUCUCUCUUUUCCUCAGUCAUUUUUAACCUACACAAUCUCUCGUCUGGAUCAUCAGUCAAUCGCCUCUUUAUAUCUCUCCGGUGAGAUUCCGACCGAUAACUCGAAUUCCGUUCCGAUUGUUUUGCUUCUUCGAUUCUCCGCUUUUUUAACUCACCCAUGAUUUUGGAAGCUCAAUUUGGAGAAAUCGAGUAACAUUUGCUCGGGAAGAUGAACACGAUAGCGAAGCGAGUUACGGGAUUAAUGACUCGGGCGAGUCAUAACCAGUUACAGCAAGAGCGAGGGAUAAGAGUGAAGGUAUUCUCCGGGGAUCUGGACAAGGCGCUGACGAUUCUGCAGAGGAAGAUGCAGUCGAGUGGAAUGGAGAGGCUGAUAAAAGCGCAGCAGACUCAUCACAUUAAGAACUCGGAGAAGAAGGUUCUCGCUAGGAAGAAUCUGGAACGAAGGAUCAAAUCCAUUGACUUUGCUCGCAAACUCCAGAAGAUCCUUAUCAAGAAAGUCAGGUAUAGUUUCCGAAUUCGGAAAAUGUUUGCAUUUAGGGCUUAAUGGUUAUUGUUUAGGCUGCUCAAAAAUUUCUGAAAUCAUGUAACUCACACUCAUGAACUUGUUCGAUUCAUUGGGUAUGGUAAAAACCUUGAAUUUUAGAAAAAGCUACAAGAACAUACACUACUCUUCCAAUGUUGCAGUUUUGUAGCUAUAAUUGUAUACAACGGAUUGUUAAUGGUUUCUUUCUCAUUUUCUUCUUUGCAGAGGUUUAUGAGAGCCGAGCCAAAUCAAGAAUGCUGCUAUAACGAUUACAUCUUUUUCUGGGAACUAAUGUUGAUCAGUGCUAGUAUGUGUGAUAUAACACAGUUGUGAUUCAGGUUUUUUCUUUUCGUUUUGAACUUUCGAUGAAUGGGAUCAAUAUGGAAUUGGUAUGAUCUUGGAUUACCAUUAGUUUUUUACUCUUAUGAAUAAGGCUUUUCUUUCCUAAGUUUUCCAUAAUCAUUAUGAAAAGCUUCAGUUCCAAAAAGUACAUGUAUUCAAAGUUGUUUCUGGGAUCUUAGAUAGUUGAUCAACCCAUCGCAACAGCCGGAAACCUCGGUACUCCAAAGCGAUGGAGGAUUGAGGAUUCUGAAUUGCUGAAUUUUCGAUACAUUAGCAGGCAAUAACCAAUAUACACUUACAGACAAAAUUUUACUUGUGUUGCUUUUGGUUUGUUUCUAAAAUGCUUACCAUUGUUUGUUUUAAAGUUCAUCUCAGUUUCUCAGAUAUAUUCAACAGAAAGAUCUCAAGUACUCGCAGUUACCUGUAAGUUGUUAACUCUGUCUCUCUUGAAAUCGAGAUUUUAGGUACUAUGGAUAAAAAGAAAUUAGGUUGAGUAAUUACUAAUUACAAAGUCCUUAAUGAACCUGAAAAUGAGAAAAGAUGGAGAGAAUGUUUACUAGUUUUUCUCUAUUUUUGUUUUGCUUGAUCCUGAUUGUGUUUUCCUGCAAGGAAUCUUCGAAAAGAUUACUUGCUUCAUUGUAUUAGUUUCCUUCUCUAUUUUUUUUUAAGAAAUAUUAUUUCCCACAACAAGAAUCCUUACUUGGACUUGUCACCAAGUUAUCCUCUCUCUCUCUCUCUCAUUUAGAUAUCAGAAACAGUUGAAAUCUCGCACUCUUCUUAUGUUCUCAUCUCAACUAAAUUUUCCUUUUGAUGCUUUUUAGCUUCUUCCUCUAAUGUAUCAUCAUCACUAUGAAACCAACCCUCAUUUCGCACGCCUUCCACCGCAGAAUCAACAUGUCAGAGGCGGUGCUUCCACCUCACAAACAUCUCCCCAUCACCAACCGUCCAUUCCACGAUCACACCCAAACGCUCCACAUGUAAUUCAAACCAAGCCACAAGGUCGCAACCGCAAAGGUCCAGUCCACGAACCUCGACAUUCCACAAUACCUUUACCACUAAGCCCAGAAGAGAAACUACCGCCAAGGAAAACUUCAAACUCUGCAAAAAUACCAUUACUAUCAAGCCCAGAGGAGAGACCACCACCAAGAAAAACACCAAACUCUACAAAAAAACCAUUACUAUUAAGCCCUGAAGAUCAUCACCAUCAUCAACAACAACAACAAAGACCUCCACCAUCACAACCACCACGCGGUGGCGGCGGUUAUCCAACAACACUACCUCCAAUAGCC
rnacentral:lncRNA from 1 species